GCACAGGGAUGCUGGGUGCUGGGUUCUCAGGGAUGCUGGGUGCACAGGGAUGCUGGGUGCUGGAUUCCCAGGGAUGCUGGGUGCUGUGCUCAUUACAGGACUGCACUUUGGCCACCCCAGAUGCCACGAGCCCUUGUUGUCACACGAUCCUAGUGGGGCUGGGGGUGGGAGGUCCAGCCUGGAUGGGUGCAGCGGGUCAGUGCUGCCAUCCCAGGAGCCAGCACGGACACGGGAGAGCCCGGCUGGACACGCUGGGGCAGCAGAGCCGGCAGGAGACGGACACACAGAUGGCCAUGGCCGCUCUCUUGGAGAGACGGGACCCUAAUCCUCCCCAUGGGUCCCAUUAUCAUCCCUAGCUGGUGAAAAAACUCUCAUCCUGGAUGUGUCUAAUCCUAAUCACUCCCUAUCGCCCAGGACCACUUCAGACGGGCCAGACGGACAGACGAGGCCUCUCCUGCCUGGAAUAUCUGCACAGGCAGCCCCGGGGGGGGACAGAGGGGGGGACAGGCCACCCCUUCGCUCCUAAUCCCUCGGCGAGCCCUUCAUUUGAAAGGGGAUUUGCUGUUUAUUCCCUCCGCAGGCUCCACGAUCAUCGCAGGGGUCAACAUCUGAGCUGGGAGAGCCUUGUUAAAACAUAAGAGGGCAGGUGCAGCUUGCGACAGGUCUGAACGGCUGCCAGCCGGCUCGGAAAUCCCAAACACAUCUGUGCUCAUCAGUUGGACACCAGAUGGGCCCAGGCGUGUUUUAUCAGCUGGAGGUCAGGCCCCUCUUGGGAUGAGGGGCGGGCUGGGGCCACACCAGAGCUCACAGUCACAGCUCUCUGAGUGCUGGCUCUGCCCCAGCUUCUCCCCCAAACCCCCCAGGGACAGCCCUGUCCUUGCACCAUGGGAUGGGAGCUGCAGAGCCCUGCCUGCAUUAAA